UGUGUGUUCCUUCUCUCCUGAGGGAUACGUCUUUCAAACGUAUACCUCAGGAGAGGUGGAACACACAUCCUGUCCAUGUGAACUCUCUCGAGAGACUGAGAGUUCCCAGCCCUGUGAUUGGCUUAUCAACAGUCAAUCAGGAGCGUCGUAAGGGACGGGCCUAGACAUCAAAUGCACGGUUGAUGUGAAUCUACUAUAGUAGUGACAUUGAUGGUGGUGUAGUUACACUUAAAUGAAAAUUUCUGCAAAGCGAUACUUUGGAGUAAUCCAGCUUCAUUUCUUUAGUUCUGACAUCUGCCACUGGGAUCUUACACGCGUCCCCACCACUUUCAUACGGCAACAACCUUUUGUGUUCAUGGCACCUGACAGUGGCGGAAGGCAGAAAAAUUGGACUUUCCUUCCAGUGGUUUAAGACUGAGCCAGGAUGUGACUUCCUCGAGGUUCAAGAUUUAUCGACUUCGCAGCCAAUGGGAGAGUCACCGUAUGAUGGGGAGCGGCAAAUUCCACUUCUAGUCUCCUGGGGGAAUUCGGUCAACGUCUCGUUCAUACCAGAUUUCAGUGUUCUCGACGUUGGAUUCCAGAUUUUCUACUACACCGUCUAGUGAUGCAAACAGGUGACAGCCGAAGGAGCCGAGAUUCAGAAACGGUGUCGUAAAAGAAGGAGAAAAAGGGAAAAAAGAGGCAACCAGAAUUGGGAAUAUUAGACAAUGGAUAACGAGAGAUGAGAUACUUUAUUCGUAACAACUUUACAUCUGGCAGUCAAGGAAUGAAAUUGAUAUAGCAUCCGUGAUCUCACGCCAGAUGUCACUUUCAACUUGUUGAACCCCUGAACAGCAGAGUCAUCUCUGCUAAUUGUCCUCGUCCGAAUUUCCCUAGUUGUUUCUCAAUUUAUUUUUUUGCCUUCAGUAGAGAGAAUGGUUCUUUGAGUGAAAUAUGUUACUGUUUCUAUACUAUUUCGGGAGACUGUUAGUAUACUACUAUGAAAUUCAGGGCCUCUGUAACACGUUUUUUUUGGAUUUUGCUCCUUAUCAAAACAUCGGAUGUAGCUGAAAGUUGACAUAUGUAUAUUUUACAACUACACACAAAUUUUGUCAGCAUUAUCAAUAACCUAAACCCGAUAGUUUUAAUUUUUAUUGAGUAAAAAUUAUCUAGCCGACGUCAUGGCCAAUGAUUGCGAGCCAAGAGUCGAAAAACAUUCAUUACGUAAGCAAGGUAAACAUCGUUUUACGAAAUGUUGCCCCGCCCAUCCACCAGACAGAAACCCAUUCACCUUAUUCCAUCGGCUCUGAAACCCAUAGUAGUCAAGAAUGGCUAACAGGAUUUGAAAUUGUCCCCGUGGUUGCAAAACUGCAUUUGUCUUACGACUUGCUUUAUACAGUCAAGAGAAAGCCCAUGGUCAUACUUACUAUAGCCUGAAUAGGUAAUUAUUCAGUUUCUAGUUUAAAUCCAAUGUUUAUGGUCUGAUUUGUAUUUAGCGUAACGUGAUUAUAAUACUUGUAAUGUCAUUCAGGAUUUUGAACAUUUCCAUUAACUAUUCACUAUACCACCAAGAGAGAGAGAGAGAAAGAGAGAGAUUGUAUGUAAACAGUCCAUAUAACUAUUUUUGUUAAAAUAAGAUUUUUAUCCAAAGUAAAUACAAGCUUAUGUGUGCUAAAAUCUCCAGCCGACCAACGGAUCAGCCGAUAUGAUAUAAUUUUUUUUCUUCUUCUUUAGUCUGUACGACCAUGUUGGAUAUAAAGACUUUAUGAAUGGCGGAAAGAUACAUAGAUGUGGGUGGGGUAUCUGUCCUAGCGUAGUAAUACUUCUGUAGCAGUAGUGCCGCAAAAUUAGUAAUAGCAGCAAUAUACAUGAAUUAAACGUUUAGGCCAACUGCUGGGAUCCCUGAGGAUCAUUUAGCACUUCUUACAACUACUCGAGAAAUGAGAUUAAAUAGCCAGAGGUUAGAUUUUCUAAUACAAUAAUGUCCAUGAUAGCCUUCAUUGUUAUCCUGAAUUAUAACGAGGUCAAAGUGGGUGAAGCCUCAUGAAGUCAUCAUUCUGACGAUAAUUAUUGGUGAAGGUUUAAAGCCAACAAACGGUACCGCCUUUUUUUUUUUUUUUUUUUUUUUUUUU